rnacentral:tRNA from 2 species
GGGAGCGUGGUGGAAUUGGUAUACACGCUGGCCUUAGGAGCCAGUGCCGCAAGGCAUGGGGGUUCGAGUCCCCCCGCUCCCACCA